rnacentral:lncRNA from 1 species
GAUGUAGACCAGUAUGUGAAGUGUCCAAAGAGUCACUAUACAAAUACAAAGAAGAGCAACUUUUAUCAAAAAUCUGUCACCUUUCUGACCUAUGAAGACCCCAUGGCUAUCCACACAUAUUUGUGCUUAUUUGCACUCACUGUGAAACAUCUUUGUGAAACAAGCAUUUUUGUGAAACAAGGAGACAGUCCUAUUGUCAAGGCCACUAACUGAGCUCUCAGUUACAUUUUUCUCAUCAUACUCAAAUUCUGUUUCCUAGCUUCUUUGAACUUCAUUGGUCAGCCCAAAACAGUUCUUUCAGCAGACCACCAUUGCAGUUGCUUUCACUUACCAGUUCUUACCAGUGUGUUGGCCAAAGCUAUUAAUGUGGUAAUUGCAUUUAAAGUCAAUUUUCAAGGGAGAAUGGUAGGGUGGCUAAUGAUAUCAAGGGGUCCAAACUACACCAUCCCUAUCUGUACCCUGAUCUAACUUCUUCUUCGUGGAGUAUGGAUGCUAACAUCUCCACCAUUCACUUAUCAAGAUGCUCAUUCUGAACAUGGAUACAUCAUCAUUUUUUUUUUCAACAAGGGCUCAGCUUUUGACUUCCAUUCUCUUUAGGGAUAACACUAUUUCUUGGACUUUGGGAGUAAUACCAUUGCCAUCUUGUCUAAAAUUUGAUUGAUACAUUCAAUUAAUCCAAAAUUCUGUCAUUCAGUAUGCUCAUGUUCUUUUGUUUCUUGGUCACCUUUCUUCCUGUCUACCAUAGCACUAAAGGGAAGGUUAUGGUGGCUAUGGAAGUUUUCUCUAUCUUGAUUUCCAGCACAGCACUUUUGCCUUCAUAUUUGGUCCCAUGUGUUUCAUUUUCUUAUUGAGAUGAGACAAAAAUUCAUUUAAUCAUAUCAGAAAAACAAAAACUAAUUCUAGAAGGA